rfam:Gorilla gorilla gorilla genomic chromosome, chr8, whole genome shotgun sequence
GCUGGGUGUGGUGGCGCACAUCUGUAGUCUCAACUACUACUCAGGAGGCUGAGGUAGGAGGAUCACUUGAGCCCAGGAGUUUGAGGCUGCAGUGAGCUAUGAUGGUGCCACUGCACUCUAGCCUGGGUGACAGAGCAAGACCCUGUCUCUG